rnacentral:rRNA from 1 species
GAUGAACGCUGGCGGCGUGCCUAAUACAUGCAAGUCGAGCGAACGGACGAGAAGCUUGCUUCUCUGAUGUUAGCGGCGGACGGGUGAGUAACACGUGGAUAACCUACCUAUAAGACUGGGAUAACUUCGGGAAACCGGAGCUAAUACCGGAUAAUAUUUUGAACCGCAUGGUUCAAAAGUGAAAGACGGUCUUGCUGUCACUUAUAGAUGGAUCCGCGCUGCAUUAGCUAGUUGGUAAGGUAACGGCUUACCAAGGCAACGAUGCAUAGCCGACCUGAGAGGGUGAUCGGCCACACUGGAACUGAGACACGGUCCAGACUCCUACGGGAGGCAGCAGUAGGGAAUCUUCCGCAAUGGGCGAAAGCCUGACGGAGCAACGCCGCGUGAGUGAUGAAGGUCUUCGGAUCGUAAAACUCUGUUAUUAGGGAAGAACAUAUGUGUAAGUAACUGUGCACAUCUUGACGGUACCUAAUCAGAAAGCCACGGCUAACUACGUGCCAGCAGCCGCGGUAAUACGUAGGUGGCAAGCGUUAUCCGGAAUUAUUGGGCGUAAAGCGCGCGUAGGCGGUUUUUUAAGUCUGAUGUGAAAGCCCACGGCUCAACCGUGGAGGGUCAUUGGAAACUGGAGAACUUGAGUGCAGAAGAGGAAAGUGGAAUUCCAUGUGUAGCGGUGAAAUGCGCAGAGAUAUGGAGGAACACCAGUGGCGAAGGCGACUUUCUGGUCUGUAACUGACGCUGAUGUGCGAAAGCGUGGGGAUCAAACAGG